rnacentral:Y_RNA from 1 species
GGCUGGUCUGAGUCCAGUGGGGUUCACAGAAAACUGAUCACAACCAGCUACAGAUUUCAUUGUUUCUUCUCCACUUCCACUGCUUCACUCGUCUAGCCUAGG